UACGUAGGGUGCGAGCGUUAAUCGGAAUUACUGGGCGUAAAGCGUGCGCAGGCGGUUUUGUAAGUCAGAUGUGAAAUCCCCGGGCUUAACCUGGGAAUGGCAUUUGGGACUGCAAGGCUGGAGUGUGGCAGAGGAGACUGGAAUUCCCGGUGUAGCAGUGAAAUGCGUAGAUAUCAAGAGGAACACCUGAGGUGAAGACGGGUUGCUGGGCUGACACUGACGCUGAGGCGCGAAAGCCAGGGGAGCAAACGGG
rnacentral:rRNA from 1 species